rnacentral:rRNA from 1 species
UCAAGUUAAUAAGGGCAUACGGUGGAUGCCUAGGCGCCAAGAGCCGAUGAAGGACGCGGUAAGCUGCGAAAAGCUUCGGGGAGCCGCAAGCGGGCGAUGAUCCGGAGAUAUCCGAAUGGGGCAACCCAUACAGAGUCAUAUCUGUAUAUCCUUAGCUGAAUCCAUAGGCUAAGGAGGACAACCCAGCGAACUGAAACAUCUAAGUAGCUGGAGGAAAAGGAAGUAAGAACGAUUCCCUAAGUAGCGGCGAGCGAACGGGGAAGAGCCUAAACCUACCUUUCGGGGUAGGGGUUGUGGGACUCACGGAAAGCGAGUCAGGCCUAGCCGAACCCGUUGGAAAGCGGGACCAAAGGAGGUAACAGUCCUGUAGGCGAAAGGCAGAGCGAGUGGGUGAGGAUCCCGAGUACCGCGGGUCACGAGAAAUCCCGUGGGAAUCAUCCAGGACCAUCUGGAAAGGCGAAAUACUCCUUGGCGACCGAUAGCGUAUAGUACCGUGAGGGAAAGGUGAAAAGAACCCCGGGAGGGGAGUGAAAUAGAACCUGAAACCGUAUGCUUACAAGCAGUCGGAGCAUUUACGGAUGUGACGGCGUGCCUUUUGUAGAAUGAACCAGCGAGUUACGCUCACAUGCGAGGUUAAGGCGAGAAGCCGGAGCCGAAGCGAAAGCGAGUCUGAACAGGGCGAGAGUAUGUGGGAGUAGACCCGAAACCGGGUGAUCUACCCAUGGCCAGGUUGAAGCGCUAGUAAAAUAGCGUGGAGGACCGAACCAACCGUCGUUGAAAAGGCGGUGGAUGAGCUGUGGGUAGGGGUGAAAUGCCAAUCGAACUCGGAGAUAGCUGGUUCUCCCCGAAAUAGCUUUAGGGCUAGCCUCAGGGAGAGAUUGUCGGAGGUAGAGCGCUGAAUCGGCUAGGGGUCUUCACAGAUUACCGAACCGUAUCAAACUGCGAAUGCCGGCAAUUAUACCUGGGAGUCAGACUGCGGGUGCUAAGGUUCGUAGUCGAAAGGGAAACAGCCCAGACCAACAGUUAAGGUCCCCAAACCGCGCUAAGUGGGAAAGGAAGUAGAACUCCACAGACAACCAGGAUGUUGGCUCAGAAGCAGCCACCAUUUGAAGAGUGCGUAAUAGCUCACUGGUCCAGGAGUUCCGCGCCGAAAAUGUAACGGGGCUGAAGCGUGGUACCGAAACUUUGGAUUUAGCGGAAACGCUAAGUGGUAGGGGAGCGUUGUGUCGGCGAAGAAGCGAUGUCGCGAGGCGUCGUGGAGCUUACACAAGGGAGAAUGCUGGUAUUAGUACACGAAAAGACAAGUGAGAAUCUUGUCCGCCGAAAACCUAAGGUUUCCUGGGGAAGGUUCGUCCGCCCAGGGUAAGUCGGGACCUAAGUCGAGGCCGAGAGGCGUAGAUGAUGGACAACUGGUUGAGAUUCCAGUACCGGCGGUAAUCGUAUGAUCGAGGGAGUGACGCGGGAAGGUAACCUAAGCCCGAGAUUGGUAGAUCGGGCCCAAGCGAGCAGGCUGGUUGGGAGGCAAAUCCCCUGACCGCGAGGCCGAGACGUGACGGGGAGGGAAAAUAAGUACCGAAGUAGGUGACCCUAAACCGCCGAGAAAAGCUUCUAGAGAGAGAGCCGUCGCCCGUACCGUAAACCGACACAGGUAGGUGGGGUGAGAAACCUCAGGCGCGCGAGAGAACCCUCGUUAAGGAACUCGGCAAAAUGACUCCGUAACUUCGGGAGAAGGAGUGCCACAGCGAUGUGGUCGCAGAGAAGAGGCCCAGGCAACUGUUUAACAAAAACACAGGUGCUUGCGAAAACGAAAGUUGAAGUAUAAGUGCUGACGCCUGCCCGGUGCUGGAAGGUUAAGGGAAGAGGUUAGCCGAAAGGCGAAGCUUUGAACUGAAGCCCCAGUGAACGGCGGCCGUAACUAUAACGGUCCUAAGGUAGCGAAAUUCCUUGUCGGGUAAGUUCCGACCCG